GGAUUAGAUACCCUGGUAGUCCACGCCGUAAACGAUGACAACUAGCUGUUGGGAAGCUAUGCUUUUCAGUGGCGCAGCUAACGUCUUAAGUUGUCCGCCUGGGGAGUACGGCCGCAAGGUUAAAACUCAAAUGAAUUGACGAGGACCCGCACAAGCGGUGGAGCAUGUGGUUUAAUUCGAUGCAACGCGAAAAACCUUACCUACACUUGACAUACUUGGAAUCUUUUGUAACGAAAGAGUGCCUUUUGGAGCCAAGAUACAGGUGCUGCAUGGCUGUCGUCAGCUCGUGCCG
rnacentral:rRNA from 1 species